GUAGGCCUUCCAUUUGCAGUGCAGUCAAACUUAUCUUUUUUAAAAAUUGUUACCGACUUUGUGUCGCCAAAGUUUCAGCUGAUGGGAACAAUUGUGUGAGUCGCCGGAAUAUUCUAGCUGUUCGGCACAGAGCAGCUGAGUUGUUGUGGGAGUGUCAGGGUGGCUUGGAGAUUUUACUCACGCAGGGGCCGUGGUUUAUUAUUUGUGAGAUCGCAUGCAGAAAACAAAGAAAACUAGGACGACAAACUGGACAGAACGAGGCGCAGUCGCUGCGCUUCUCGAGAACCGUGCCGGAUUCUCGAUUUGCGUGCGCAUAGCAAGAGCGAAGUUAGCUUUACCGCAAAGCAAGCGCGAUUCGGCGGAGCCGCCGCGCUCUAGCAGACCACGCUGCGAAGACCCCAC
rnacentral:lncRNA from 1 species